GUGUCAGUACAAACCGAACCAAGGUGAAACCGCAAACGGCUCAUUAAAUCAGUUUUAGUUCACUUGAGCGAAAACGUCCAAGUUUUUGGAUAACUGUGGCAAUUCUAGAGCUAAUACAUGCAACCGAGUCCCGACCAGUAAUGGGAAGGACGCUUUUAUUAGAUCAAAAUCAAUCGGGGCCGGCCACCGCGCCGCCCCGUCUGACUUGAUGACUCUGAAUAACACAGACCUGAUCGCACGGUCUCCGCGCCGGCGACCCAUCUUUCAAAUGCCUGACUUAUCAACUGUCGAUGGUAGGCUCUACGUCUACCAUGGUUGUAACGGGUGACGGGGAAUCAGGGUUCGAUUCCGGAGAGGGAGCCUGAGAAACGGCUACCACAUCCAAGGAAGGCAGCAGGCACGCAAAUUACCCACUCCCGGCACGGGGAGGUAGUGACAAAAAAUAACGAUACGGGACUCAUCCGAGGCCCCGUAAUCGGAAUGAGCACACUCUAAAUCAUUUAACAAGUACCUAUUGGAGGGCAAGUCUGGUGCCAGCAGCCGCGGUAAUUCCAGCUCCAAUGGCGUAUAUUAAAGUUGUUGCGGUUAAAAAGCUCGUAGUUGGUCCUGCGUCCCACGCUGUCGGUUCACCGCCUGUCGGUGCAACUGGCACGCCGUGGGAUGUCCUGUCGGUGGCGGCCGCGGCCCGGGCGGCGGGGCCCAGGUCCCGGAACGGGCCCGAAGCUCCCCCCCGGGGCCCGCCGGUCGCCUAUCUAAUCCCGCCGCGGUGCUCUUAACUGAGUGUCGAGGUGGGCCGACACGUUUACUUUGAACAAAUUAGAGUGCUCAAAGCAGGCUGAACUCAGCCUGAAUAGUGGUGCAUGGAAUAAUUGAAUAGGACCUCGGUUCUAUUUUGUUGGUUUUCGGAAUCCGAGGUAAUGAUCAAUAUGGACAGGCGGGGGCAUUCGUAUUGCGGCGUUAGAGGUGAAAUUCUUGGAUCGUCGCAAGACGCACUAAAGCGAAAGCAUUUGCCAAGUAUGUCUUAGUUGAUCAAGAACGA
rnacentral:rRNA from 1 species